rnacentral:rRNA from 1 species
ACUCUAGAGAUAGAGUCUUCCCCUUCGGGGGACAAAGUGACAGGUGGUGCAUGGUUGUCGUCAGCUCGUGUCGUGAGAUGUUGGGUUAAGUCCCGCAACGAGCGCAACCCUUAAGCUUAGUUGCCAGCAUUAAGUUGGGCACUCUAAGUUGACUGCCGGUGACAAACCGGAGGAAGGUGGGGAUGACGUCAAAUCAUCAUGCCCCUUAUGAUUUGGGCUACACACGUGCUACAAUGGACAAUACAAAGGGCAGCUAAACCGCGAGGUCAUGCAAAUCCCAUAAAGUUGUUCUCAGUUCGGAUUGUAGUCUGCAACUCGACUACAUGAAGCUGGAAUCGCUAGUAAUCGUAGAUCAGCAUGUUACGGUGAAUACGUUCCCGGGUCUUGUACACACCGCCCGUCACACCACGAGAGUCUGUAACACCCGAAGCCGGUGGAGUAACCAUUUAUGGAGCUAGCCGUCGAAGGUGGGACAAAUGAUUGGGGUGAAGUCGUAACAAGGUAGCCGUAUCGGAAGGUGCGGUUGGAUCACCUC